rnacentral:tRNA from 1 species
UCUAAAAUGGCAGACCAUUGCACUGGAUUUAAGCUCCUGAUAGGAAAUUUAUAAUUUCUUUUAGAA